ensembl:lncRNA
UGGGUUCAAUACCCAGAAGAAAGGAAAGAAAGAAAGAAAGAAAGAAAGAAAGAAAGAAAGAAAGAAAGAAAGAAUUGUACUGAGAAUAUUGUAUGUGAUAGGCAUCUGGGCUCUGAGAGUGAGGUUAUGGCACUCUCUCUAACUUCAAGAUGCUCAUCUUCCUUAGGGGAGGCAGAGAGGUAAUAAUUACAGUGCUACUGAAAUAUGUGAAAUGACAGGAAGAAACCAAAAGGCCAGAAGAAAUGCCUAAAUUCAGAUCACAGCGAAGAGAGCAGAUCAGCUAAGCAGAUACGGACAAGCGCCCACCUGGGAGAUGGAAGACCCUGGACCACCUAAAUAAAAGGAGCUUGGGACAAGAGUUAGAGGGCUUUCAGCGCUGACGCCCCCCACCACCUCACUGCAGCUGUCUAUUCUCUUUCUUCUCCAUCUCUUUCCCCAA